AUAAUAAUAACAGUAAUAAUGAUAAUAACAAUAAUAAUAAUAAUGUAACUUAUUCGUUGCCGAUUAUUUAUCAUGUUAAUCUGAGUGUAAUCUAACAGGGCUAAUUCUAACAUCUGGCAUAAAGUAAAUAUUGAGACCUUUAACGGGACAUUUUUUUAAGACAAUUUAACAUUAACAUAAAAUAGGGCCUCUCUUUACCCUAAUAAGAGCAAGACCUAACUUUUAACAGAAUCUAACACCGUAGGAAUUCAUCUUAAGUGUUAUAAAAGGAGUUAAUUUUAGCAGGACUACAAGCCCACAAUUUUAAUAGAAUCGAUGUUUUACUUUUAUAACGGGAUCUAAUUUGAAAAGAACAGGACAAAAAGUUUAAAAGCAUAACUGGACCAAAAUCUGGAAGAACAGGACUAAAAUCUGACAGCAUAACUGGACCAAAAUCUGAAAGAACAGGACCAAGGUUUAACAGCAUAACUGGACCAAAAUCUGAAAGAACAGGUCCUAAAAUUUAACGGCAUAACUGGACCAAAAUCUAACAGAAUAACCGAGCCUUUUUUUCUUUCUUUCUUUCUUUUUUUCACAAUUAUAACAAAGCUAAAUGUAAGCGAACCUACCCUUAAACAUGAUACUCGAAUUUUAAGCUCACAACAACGUCUACUUCGUCAGGAGCUGAGUACCUGGCCCGCCUCGGCUUCCCUCCUGCAGUCACGGCCUUCGUCAGGUAUCACGUGCAGGCCAAGAGGUUCCUGGUGGCUACUGACGCCGGGUAUUAUGAGACCCUCACGGAAGCGAGCAGGAUGACCCUCGAACACCAAGGAGGACCGAUGACGGAGGAGGAGGCGAGGACUUUCGCCCAGGACCCGCAGUUCGACGCCAUUUUGAGGAUGAGGAGGUGGGACGAGAGAGCCAAGGAUCCCAAGGCUGUCACGCCGCCCUUAGAGCACUACAGAGACAUGUGUUUGAGGUUUCUGCAGGAGGGCGAGGCGGCGGGAAAGAAGAUUUGAAAUGUUCGGAAAACGCGCGGAGAGAAAGAGGCUCCGUUUUCUGUUUCUUCUUGUUGUUUUUUUUCAUUUUUUUCGUAUCCGUCAUAUUUAGUUUUUGUGUUUUUGUUGUUGUUGUUGUUGUUUUGGUUUGACUGAUUAAAACGUUUGGAUUCA